GGUACUAAGAAACAUGCGAGAGUCUCAUGGACAGCACAAGCUCCAAGGGAGCAUUUUCUCAUCACCUCAAUAGUGUUUAGAAAAGAGAGGUGCUACCAUUUGACCACUGGGGUUGGUACAUUAGCACAGUUCGGAGAAAGGCAGCAGGUGGAGCAUCGCAGGUUUUUCGGGAGAAACCUGCCGGUGAGUGGACACCAUUGAACACUCUCUUGAUGAGACUGAUGCUGAUUCUAUGAUUCCACCAUGAAAUGGGAAAUCCCAGGUACUGAGGCAUUGCCUUUUGGUGGUUAUUCUUUUCAACCACACAAGGCUGGCAAAGGACUCAGAAACUCCUGAGAGUUCCCAAAGAAGCAAAACUUUAAUAAUUGUCACAGUAACUCAUGGACAGAUGAACGAGAGAAAAGUCACAGAAGUGGUGAUGGGAGAAAGAAGGAGGGGAUAAGGGCAGAAAGAAGAGAAGCAGAAAGAUGGAAACACUGUUCACCCACAUUUUUCCUUUUGUCUUCUUACCAUGAAGAUGGGAAGAUCACAGAAGCUCUGUGUGCUGUCCGAAGGCGAUGUCUUUUAGCAGUGUGCCCAGUGGAACCUCGCAGAAUUCUCAGCAUUAUCCCUUUUCCCCCAUCUCUUGGAACCAGAGCAGAGUGAAGAAGUCCUGUCUCCCAUGUUCUGCCCACCCGUGGAAGGCCCCAGGGAUGCCUGCCGCCCACCGUAUGCAACACCUUGAGCUUCACUGACCCACCUAGUUCCUACUGUCUUCAGUGAAGCUUGAGACAGGUCCUAGAAUUCCCCCUAACU
rnacentral:lncRNA from 10 species